rnacentral:rRNA from 1 species
CCUACGGGAGGCAGCAGUGGGGCAUAUUGCACAAUGGGGGAAACCCUGAUGCAGCGACGCCGCGUGAAUGAAGAAGUACUUCGUUAUGUAAAGCUCUAUCAGCAGGGAAGAAAAUGACGGUACCUGAGUAAGAAGCCCGGGCUACCUACGUGCCAGCAGCCGCGGUAAUACGUCGGGGGGACGCGUUAACCGGAUUUACUGGGGGUAAAGGGCUCGUAGACGGGAGUGCAAGUCUAGAGUGAAAGGUGGGGGCUCAACCCCCGGACUGCUCUGGAAACUGUACGGCUGGAGUGCAGGAGAGGUAAGUGGAAUUCCUAGUGUAGCGGUGAAAGGCGUAGAUAUUAGGCGGAACACCAGUGGCGAAGGCGGCUUACUGGACUGUAACUGACGUUGAGGCUCGAAAGCGUGGGGAGCAAACAGGAUUAGAUACCCGAGUAGUC